GACGAACGCUGGCGGUGUGCUUCACACAUGCAAGUCGAACGGGGUAGCAAUACCCAGUGGCGGACGGGUGAGUAACACGUAGGAAUCUGCCUCAGAGUGGGGAAUAACUGAUCGAAAGAUUAGCUAAUACCGCAUAUGUCGAAAGAUAAAAGGAGUAAUCCGCUUUGAGAUGAGCCUGCGUCCGAUUAGCUAGUUGGUAGGGUAAAGGCCUACCAAGGCGACGAUCGGUAGCUGGUCUGAGAGGAUGAUCAGCCACAAUGGAACUGAGACACGGUCCAUACUCCUACGGGAGGCAGCAGUGGGAAUUUUACGCAAUGGGGGAAACCCUGACGUAGCGACACCGCGUGAGCGAAGAAGCCCUUUGGGGUGUAAAGCUCUUUCGCGCACGACGAUAAUGACGGUAGUGCGAGAAGAAGCUCCGGCUAACUUCGUGCCAGCAGCCGCGGUAAU
rnacentral:rRNA from 1 species